GACGAACGCUGGCGGCGUGCCUAACACAUGCAAGUCGAACGAGGUCCAUGAGAGCUUGCUCUCGGACGACCUAGUGGCGAACGGGUGAGUAACACGUGAGAAACCUGCCUCGGAGUGGGGAAUAACUCGGGGAAACUCGAGCUAAUACCGCAUACCUUCAGAUGAUCGCAUGGUCGACUGAAGAAAGAAUUUCGCUCUGAGAGGGUCUCGCGGCCUAUCAGCUAGUUGGUGGGGUAACGGCCUACCAAGGCAACGACGGGUAGCUGGAUUGAGAGAUCGAUCAGCCACACUGGGACUGAGACACGGCCCAGACUCCUACGGGAGGCAGCAGUGGGGAAUCUUGCGCAAUGGGCGAAAGCCUGACGCAGCAACGCCGCGUGCGGGAUGACGGCCUUCGUGGUUGUAAACCGCUUUCAGCAGGGACGAAAUUGACGGUACCUGCAGAAUAAGCACCGGCUAACUACGUGCCAGCCGCCGCGGUAAUAC
rnacentral:rRNA from 1 species